CCCAGCAACGAUGAAGUAAAGAACGUCCUCUCACAAGAAAACGGUAUUACAUUCCCCUAUAUUCUGGAUCUACUGAUGGCACACUUCAAAGAGCAGAGAGAUGCCCUCAUCUUGCAGGCAGAUGUGUCAGACACAGCAGCAACUGUGAAGACAUCCCUUGCCCUCCCCGAUAGCCCUCGGUUGAUCAUUCUAGGUCCAAUGAUUCCUGACCAGCGUUGGAUGGUUAGCAUCGAGGGCCACGUGGU